UGGAGAGUUUGAUCCUGGCUCAGGACGAACGCUGGCGGCGUGCUUAACACAUGCAAGUCGAACGGAAAGGUCUCUUCGGAGAUACUCGAGUGGCGAACGGGUGAGUAACACGUGGGUAAUCUGCCCUGCACAUCGGGAUAAGCCUGGGAAACUGGGUCUAAUACCGGAUAUGACCACGGAACGCAUGUCCUGUGGUGGAAAGCUUUUGCGGUGUGGGAUGGGCCCGCGGCCUAUCAGCUUGUUGGUGGGGUGACGGCCUACCAAGGCGACGACGGGUAGCCGGCCUGAGAGGGUGUCCGGCCACACUGGGACUGAGAUACGGCCCAGACUCCUACGGGAGGCAGCAGUGGGGAAUAUUGCACAAUGGGCGCAAGCCUGAUGCAGCGACGCCGCGUGGGGGAUGACGGCCUUCGGGUUGUAAACCUCUUUCAGCAGGGACGAAGCGCAAGUGACGGUACCUGCAGAAGAAGCACCGGCCAACUACGUGCCAGCAGCCGCGGUA
rnacentral:rRNA from 1 species